GACGAACGCUGGCGGCGCGCCUAACACAUGCAAGUCGAACGAGCGAGAGAGAGCUUGCUUUCUCGAGCGAGUGGCGAACGGGUGAGUAACGCGUGAGGAACCUGCCUCAAAGAGGGGGACAACAGUUGGAAACGACUGCUAAUACCGCAUAAGCCCACGGUGCCGCAUGGCACAGAGGGAAAAGGAGCAAUCCGCUUUGAGAUGGCCUCGCGUCCGAUUAGCUAGUUGGUGAGGUAAUGGCCCAGCAAGGCGACGAUCGGUAGCCGGACUGGGAGGUUGAACGGCGACAUUGGGACUGAGACACGGCCCAGACUCCUACGGGAGGCAGGAGUGGGGAAUAUUGCACAAUGGGGGAAACCCUGAUGCAGCGACGCCGCGUGGAGGAAGAAGGUCUUCGGAUAGUAAACUCCUGUUGUAGGGGAAGAUAAUGACGGUACCCAACAAGGAAGUGACGGCUAACUACGUG
rnacentral:rRNA from 1 species